rnacentral:misc_RNA from 1 species
ACGAAGUUCAUUGGGAGUUGAGCUGACUCUUCGGAGUAUGUGCUUGCUUUCAACUCUUCUCUUUAACCACCUGUGCACCUUUGUAGUCUAUUGAUACCUCUCAAAGAGUCGAAAGACGAUUUGGAUAGAGGACUUGCAGUGUAAAUACUCGCUUGUCUUCAAUUUCAAUAGACUAUGUCUUAUAAACUCAAUAUAAAAAACCAGAAUGUCUUUUGUAGUGUCUUCAUAUGACCUAUAAACUUAUA